UACGUAGGGUCCGAGCGUUGUCCGGAUUCAUUGGGCGUAAAGAGCUCGUAGGCGGUUCGGUAAGUCUGAUGUGAAAUCUCACAGCUUAACUGUGAAACUGCAUUGGAUACUAUCCGGCUAGAGGAAUGGAGGGGAGACUGGAAUACUUGGUGUAGCAGUGAAAUGCGUAGAUAUCAAGUGGAACACCAGUGGCGAAGGCGAGUCUCUGGACAUUUCCUGACGCUGAGGCACGAAAGCCAGGGGAGCAAACGGG
rnacentral:rRNA from 1 species